UACGGAGGGUGCAAGCGUUAAUCGGAAUUACUGGGCGUAAAGGGUGCGUAGGCGGCGCGGUAAGUCGGGUGUGAAAUCUCGGGGCUUAACUCCGAAACUGCAUUCGAUACUGCCGUGCUUGAGGACUGGAGAGGAGACUGGAAUUUACGGUGUAGCGGUGAAAUGCGUAGAUAUCGUAAGGAAGACCAGUGGCGAAGGCGGGUCUCUGGACAGUUCCUGACGCUGAGGCACGAAGGUCAGGGGAGCAAACGGG
rnacentral:rRNA from 1 species